rnacentral:tRNA from 2 species
UCGGGCAUCGUAUAAUGGCUAUUACCUCAGCCUUCCAAGCUGAUGAUGCGGGUUCGAUUCCCGCUGCCCGCUCCA